GGCAGCAGCGCAGCACCCCAGUGCGUUGGGGGGAGGGGCACUGAGGAGCAGCAGGUGCGUGGAGAAAGCUCGCCACUGCUGCAGGUUGUUGAGGGACAGAAGGGGACUGAGCACUCAGGACUGGGCGAGGACUGAAGAAUCAAACCUACAUGUUUCUGCCAGGAAGUUCUCGAAAUUCCUCGCUUUCUCACUCCAUAUAUCUUUCAGACAGAUGGCGAAGCGAGGCCCAAUCGACAUAUUUAUCAAGCAGAGACAUCCAGUUGCUGAACAUGCAAGUAAUUCUGAAUCAGAUAAUGGCAAUGUAAAUAAAACGAAAGUAUUGUUAACAGAAAGACUUUGUACUAGCUUUACUCAGAAAUAUGACUCCUCAUACAUUCAGUUCGGUUUUGUAGCCACGAAUGAUGGUGGAGUGCCAAAACCGCAGUGCGUUAUUUGUGGCGAUGUGUUGGCUAAUGACGCAAUGAAGCCAUCAAACUCAAGAGGUAUUUAAAUACAAAACAUAAUGAAAUUAGUUCAAAGCCGAAAGAGUUCUUCAAAAGAAAGCAUGUUGAUUUAAAAGGCUGUCAGAAACAGAUCUUUGAAGUGUCACACACAAAUACUU